UGCAUUAUCACAAACAUUCUUACAGAGU
rnacentral:sRNA from 1 species